rnacentral:rRNA from 1 species
CCUACGGGGGGCAGCAGUGAGGAAUAUUGGUCAAUGGACGAGAGUCUGAACCAGCCAAGUAGCGUGAAGGAUGACUGCCCUAUGGGUUGUAAACUUCUUUUAUAUGGGAAUAAAACGUUCCACGUGUGGGAUUUUGUAUGUACCAUAUGAAUAAGGAUCGGCUAACUCCGUGCCAGCAGCCGCGGUAAUACGGAGGAUCCGAGCGUUAUCCGGAUUUAUUGGGUUUAAAGGGAGCGUAGGUGGAUUGUUAAGUCAGUUGUGAAAGUUUGCGGCUCAACCGUAAAAUUGCAGUUGAAACUGGCAGUCUUGAGUACAGUAGAGGUGGUGGGAAUUCGUGGUGUAGCGGUGAAAUGCUUAGAUAUCACGAAGAACUCCGAUUGCGAAGGCAGUUCACUGGACUGCAACUGACACUGAGGCUCGAAAGUGUGGGUAUCAAACAGGAUUAGAUACCCGUGUAGUC